rnacentral:rRNA from 1 species
AUGAAAAGCACUUUGAAAAGAGGGUGAGAAGAACCUGAAACCGUCAUGGGGGAAGCGGAUUGCGUUGGAUUGGUGGCCGUUUGCGUGUUCAGCCCUUUGGGUGCAUUGACGCUUGCGGUUACCCGCCGUGGGCUUUUGGUGCGUGAUUUUGACGCACCGGGGGCCGAGGGAUCCCUUUUACAGGUGAGGACGGUGGGGCGACGACGCGAUACGACCCGUCUUGAAACACGGACCAAGGAGUCUAGCGCGGCUGCGAGUCGAAGGGUGGAAAAACCUGGAGGCGCAGUGAAAGCAAAAUAAAACUUGUUGCAAGUUGAGGCGGCAUAAGGUCGCUGACCUUACGUCCGACCCGGAGCAGUUGCGCUGGGACCCGAAAGAUGGUGAACUAUGCCGGAGUAGGGCAAAGCCAGAGGAAACUCUGGUGGAGGCUCGCAGCGGUGCUGACGUGCAAAUCGCUCGUCCAACUUGGGUAUAGGGGCGAAAGACUAAUCGAACCAUCUAGUAGCUGGUUCCCUCCGAAGUUUCUCUCAGGAUAGCGGGCCGACGUGUGUUGUUUUGUGC